rnacentral:tRNA from 1 species
GGAGAGGUGGCUGAGCGGUCAAAAGCGGCAGAUUGCUAAUCUGUUGUAUGGUAUACAUGCCAUACCGAGGGUUCGAAUCCCUCUCUCUCCU